rnacentral:lncRNA from 1 species
UUUCUAGUUAACCAAAUGUGCCAAAGGCAGAAUGGCAAGAGAUUACUCCAGGAGAGGUUAUCAUUGGAUUUAAUGUCUUUACUUUUUUCCAUGACAGUUGCCCAAGACAUGUUAUUUAAUCCAAGACUUGCUACAAUAGCAGUUGUAGCUUUAUUACGAAUUGUGUUCCACAAUGUAUAGUAUUUGGGCAUUGGGAGAAUAUGUGAUCAAUGUCCUCUUUAUCAGACCCACGAAAGUGGCAGUUAGGGGCAUUCCAGCCUAAUGGAAUGAAGAAAACUUC